CAGCAGCCACGGUAAUACGUAGGUGGCAAGCGUUGUCCGGAAUUAUUGGGCGUAAAGGGCCCGCAGGCGGUUUCUUAAGUCUGAUGUGAAAGCCCCCGGCUCAACCGGGGAGGGUCAUUGGAAACUGGGAAACUUGAGUGCAGAAGAGGAGAGUGGAAUUCCACGUGUAGCGGUGAAAUGCGUAGAGAUGUGGAGGAACACCAGUGGCGAAGGCGACUCUCUGGUCUGUAACUGACGCUGAGGAGCGAAAGCGUGGGGAGCGAACAGGAUUAGAUACCCCCGUAGUCCCUGUCUCUUAUAA
rnacentral:rRNA from 1 species